rnacentral:rRNA from 1 species
AGCGGAGGAAAAGAAACCAACAGGGAUUGCUCAGUAACGGCGAGUGAAGCGGCAACAGCUCAAAUUUGAAAUCUGGCCGCAAGGUCCGAGUUGUAAUUUGUAGAGGAUGCUUUUGGCGAGGUGCCUUCCGAGUUCCCUGGAACGGGACGCCAUAGAGGGUGAGAGCCCCGUACGGUAGGACCACCAAGCCUCUGUAAAGCUCCUUCGACGAGUCGAGUAGUUUGGGAAUGCUGCUCUAAAUGGGAGGUGUACGUCUUCUAAAGCUAAAUACCGGCCAGAGACCGAUAGCGCACAAGUAGAGUGAUCGAAAGAUGAAAAGCACUUUGAAAAGAGGGUUAAAAAGUACGUGAAAUUGUUGAAAGGGAAGCAUUCAUGACCAGACUUGGGCUUGGUUGAACAUCCGGCGUUCUCGCCGGUGCACUCUGCCAGUCCAGGCCAGCAUCAGUUUGCCCCGGGGGAUAAAGGCGGCGGGAAUGUGGCUCCCUUCGGGGAGUGUUAUAGCCCGUCGUGUAAUGCCCUGGGGCGGACUGAGGAACGCGCUUCGGCACGGAUGCUGGCGUAAUGGUCAUCAAUGACCCGUCUUGAAACACGGACCAAGGAGUCGUCUUCGUAUGCGAGUGUUCGGGUGUCAAACCCCUACGCGUAAUGAAAGUGAACGUAGGUGAGAGCUUCGGCGCAUCACCGACCGAUCCUGAUGUUCUCGGAUGGAUUUGAGUAAGAGCAUACGGGGCCGGACCCGAAAGAAGGUGAACUAUGCCUGUAUAGGGUGAAGCCAGAGGAAACUCUGGUGGAGGCUCGCAGCGGUUCUGACGUGCAAAUCGAUCGUCAAAUAUGGGCAUGGGGGCGAAAGACUAAUCGAACCUUCUA